rnacentral:tRNA from 1 species
GCCUGUUUAGCUCAGUUGGUAGAGCGCAAGGCUCUUAACCUUGAGGUCCUGGGUUCGAGCCCCAAGGUGGGUG